rnacentral:rRNA from 1 species
UAUACGCCCUCAGGGGGAAAGAUUUAUCGGAGAAGGAUCAGCCCGCGUUAGAUUAGGUAGUUGGUGGGGUAACGGCCUACCAAGCCUACGAUCUAUAGCUGGUUUUAGAGGAUGAUCAGCCACACUGGGACUGAGACACGGCCCAGACUCCUACGGGAGGCAGCAGUAGGGAAUCUUGGACAAUGGGGGCAACCCUGAUCCAGCCAUGCCGCGUGAGUGAAGAAGGCCCUAGGGUCGUAAAGCUCUUUCGCCUGUGAUGAUAAUGACAGUAGCAGGUAAAGAAACCCCGGCUAACUCCGUGCCAGCGGCCGCGGUAAUACGGAGGGGGUUAGCGUUGUUCGGAAUUACUGGGCGUAAAGCGCGCGUAGGCGGAUUGGAAAGUUGGGGGUGAAAUCCCGGGGCUCAACCCCGGAACUGCCUUCAAAACUCCCAGUCUAGAGUUCGAGAGAGGUGAGUGGAAUUCCGAGUGUAGAGGUGAAAUUCGUAGAUAUUCGGAAGAACACCAGUGGCGAAGGCGGCUCACUGGCUCGAUACUGACGCUGAGGUGCGAAAGUGUGGGGAGCAAACAGGAUUAGAUACCCUGGUAGUCCACACCGUAAACGAUGAAUGCCAGUCGUCGGAUAGUAUACUAUUCGGUGACACACCUAACGGAUUAAGCAUUCCGCCUGGGGGAGUACCGGUCGCAA